rnacentral:rRNA from 1 species
UACGUAGGGCGCUAGCGUUGCUCGGAAUCACUGGGCGUAAAGCGCACGUAGGCGGCUUGCUAAGUCAGGGGUGAAAUCCUGGAGCUCAACUCCAGAACUGCCUUUGAUACUGGCGAUCUUGAGUCCGGGAGAGGUGAGUGGAACUGCGAGUGUAGAGGUGAAAUUCGUAGAUAUUCGCAAGAACACCAGUGGCGAAGGCGGCGCACUGGCCCGGUACUGACGCUGAGGUGCGAAAGCGUGGGGAGCAAACAGG